rnacentral:tRNA from 1 species
GGAGGGGUAGCAAAGCGGUCAAAUGCUCCUGACUGUAAAUCAGGCGACUUCGGUCUUCGGAGGUUCAAAUCCUCCCCCCUCCA